rnacentral:lncRNA from 1 species
AUUAUAUGCUAUCUAGUGUAUUGAGGAACGUGUCUUUGGUGUACAGUUUUACAAAUUCAUGUGCUUUACAAACACAUUUUAAUCAAAAAAUAUCUGAACUAUAAAUGUACUUUCUGGAGAUAGGAAUCAACCACACUUUGAUCAAAAUCUAAACUGAAAUCAAAGUUGGAAUAUAAUUUAAAAGGUUAUUGUGGAGACUCAAAUGUUGUCUAUUAUUUUAUAGAUGACCACUAUGCUUUUAGGUAAUUAUCAAAACAGAGUAGGUUGCUUAGCAACACAGGACCCCAGGGUGGAGCACCCCUUCUAUGUUACUAGUUACUGGGUAAGGAGAGGCAUGUAUCUGGUAGAGAAUUUCCAAUGCAUUCACCAAAUAUUUUGAAGAGAUGAAGACUUCUGGAAUCCCCUGUCAUGAUUGACUCUAUGUGUCUGGAUGCUUUCUUUUUUCGAUAGAAUCAAGGGAUGUCCUCCAAUUGGAAAGGCACGACGAGAAGGAUGCUAUAAGAAAUUGAAACAUUUUCACCAUCUGCUAAAUGUCAAUACAUUUUCAUGGCCAUGCUAAUAUCAAUGAGCCUUCUUUCUUCUCUGUCUCUCUGACUCUCUGUCUGUCUCUGUCUCUAUCUCUGUCUCUGUCUCUGUCUCUCUCUCUCUGACAAGGAUGUGUUUCCUAAGUUGGCCUCAGAAAUCCUGGUCCUCCUGCCUCUUACUCAUAGUUGCUGGGUUUACUUCCAAAUUAGCACUUUUUCCUCUCAUAAGGGUUGAACCCAGAGUUCUGUGCAUGUUAGAUAAGCACUCUUCUACUGAGCUGUACCACUGGUGCUCAAUGAGUUUAUAGUGGUUCUUGUGGUGCAUAAUCCAACAAGUGAUUUAAGAACAAUAUAUAGCCUUAAAUACUAGAAAUCAUAUAUUCCAGCAAGGGCCAUCCCUAUCAGAUCCCAAAGAAAUAUGGCUCAGGAGAGAGGCUUUACCUUACUGCAAGAGCCUCUUGUUUUCAAGAGAACCCCAAACAUUUACUUGUAUUGCAAGUUUUAAUUUGAAUUUGAAAAGAUAUUAAAUAUUCUAAAAUUAUGGUCUAACAUACAUUUCUUCUAUAAAAUGAUGGAGUCUUUUCAAAAAUUGGAGAUAAGGCUUUAUUAAGUUUAAAGAAAUAUAUCCAUUUGCUAGAGUAAGAAGUAGUAGUUGAUUAACUAGCUUAGAGCUCUACAUGUGUUAUUUUUUAGAACGUACACUUAAUUAAAAAAAAAGUAUACUGUAUUUAUUGAACCUCUGAGAGGUCUUGGAAGAGUUUCUCAAUUCUUCAGCUUUUUGGAAAUAUUAUGAAGAGCAUGAUGUCCUCACAGAAUAGUCCAAAUAGAUGAAAAAUGGAUAAGUAACAAUAUAUUUGGAUUUACUGGUCAUAAAAGCUAUGCAUAUCUUACAUAAGGCUCUCAUUUUAGGCCUCUUUGGUCUGUGUCCUAACAGAUAAAUCCAAAUACAAGAAAUAUAGGUGAGAACUAACAGAUGGCAACUUACUUGUCAUAAAUAUUAUUACUUGUCAUAUAUAUUAUAAAGACUCAUUUUUAGGCAACUUUGGGCUGCAGAGUGGAUAAUGAAUGGCUUCUCAAAGGGAAGUUUUAUUAAUUAAACUACUUUCUUUAUUGGUAAUAUUAAAAACAGUUUGUUAUCAUCUUUAAUUAUUUUGGUAUUCCGAAUUUAACCAACUGACAUUUUGUAACUUGAAGCUCUUGAGUUUCUUGAAUUAUUAAUUGUAUAUAUACAUUUUAUCCAUUUUCACAACUGUGGGGAUUACAAAUCAAUAAUUUUUAAUAUGUUAGCAUGAAAAUACAGAUCAUUACUUUCUCGACAUGAACCAGGUACUUUAAGUUUGUCAUUUUCGUAUUUGCCCAUUAUAAACUCAGGCAGAUCUAAGAAUUGAGUAAAGUUUUCAUCUUUGGAUCAUAUGUAGAUUUUCCUCUUUCCCAGAUCUGAGGGGAUACAUCAGCAAGUAAGCAUGGGUUAUUUUCCCGUAGAGAGAAUCUAUAAAAAUAAAUUAAUAAAACUGACAAAACAAAUGAAUAAACAAAAAAACACAGUUUCUCACACCUGGGAAGGAGCUGUUUUUCUUAUGUUUCAAUGAGGAAAGCCAUCUCUCCUGCAGAUAGAGGCAGUUAUCACGGCUGUGGUGCUAAAAUGAAGUCAUCAGACUGCUUAAAACAUUGGGAGAAAAUUAAAGAACUUUCUAUUUUAAAAUCUCCCCAUGAGGUUUCUGUUUUGUCUUGUUUGUCAAAUCACAUCUAAAAUAUUUUGAAUUGAAUGUGUCUUUGAUCGCAAUGAUACAAUCCAAGAAAUGUGACCACACUUAAAUUCACCUUGAUGGUGUCCCUGUGAUCUUGUACUUUAUGAAAUUUUUAAAUUUGUAAGACACCUGCAAAAAUGAAAAUAAAAGUACCUUUAAUAUUU